GAGAGCCGUGUGAUGGGUGACUAUCCAGCACAGUUCGGAGAGCAGAUGUGAUAUUGUGUCAUUUGAUAUUUGAAGUAUAACAGAGAAACCAUAAUAUUGAAAAAAAAUAUAUUUUUAAAGGUCCUAAUGAACAUUU
rnacentral:ribozyme from 1 species